rnacentral:rRNA from 1 species
CAUCACUACGCUAGAUGCAUAUCAAUAAGCGGAGGAAAAGAAACUAAUAAGGAUUCCCUUAGUAACGGCGAGUGAAGCGGGAAGAGCUCAAAUUUGAAAUCUUCAAGGUUUUACCUUGACGAAUUGUAGUUUAAAGAAGUGUUUUCUGUUGGAGUUUUGGUAAAAGUUCUUUGGAAUAGGACAUCAUAGAGGGUGAGAAUCCCGUAUUUGACCAUUAUUUCCAGCUGUGUGAUACACCUUCAAAGAGUCGGAUUGUUUGGGAAUGCAGUCCAAAAUGGGUGGUAAAUUUCAUCUAAAGCUAAAUAUUGGCGAGAGACCGAUAGCGAACAAGUACCGUGAGGGAAAGAUGAAAAGAACUUUGAAAAGAGAGUUAAACAGUACGUGAAAUUGUCAAAAGGGAAGCGUUUGACACCAGUGUUGUUUUCUCGAAAAUCAAUUAAAAAUGGCUGGAUGCUAAGUUGCUAAGACUUUGUCAGCUUGUUUCUUAGUUUUCUUGUCUUUUUAAAUGCACUUUUCGUUUAACAAGUCAACAUCAAUUUCUUUUGCUGUAAAAGGGUAAGAGGAAGGUGGCUUUGACUUCGGUUAAAGUGUUUAUAGCCUUUUACCUUCUGCAGUCGGAGAGAUUGAGGUCUGCAGCGUAGACUCCUUCGGGGUUAGAUACAUUUGUGCUAAGUUAUAGCUUUUCAUAGACAACUUGUUGACUAUGUUAAGUCUUGUAAUUUACUCGCAGAUACUAUUUUACCUACGCUUAGGAUGUUGACGAGACUGUCGAUCUC